rnacentral:siRNA from 1 species
GAGGUUCCGAAGAUUAAAGAUACA